rnacentral:misc_RNA from 1 species
AAUUUCUUGAUCAAUGACAGGUCGUUCAACAUUUUCUCAAUUGCCUCAUCAUCAUGAGCCCGUCCUUUUGUCUUAAUAGAAGGUACCAUAGCAAUAGCUUCCUCCACAGUUUCAGGACAAAGGUUGCCAAGAACACAUAGCUCAAAUUCAGCCAACUGAUAUCGGCUAAGAAUUUCUCGAACUUGUCUGACAGCAUCAGGAUUUUUAUAACGGCUAAA